rnacentral:rRNA from 1 species
UACGUAGGGCGCGAGCGUUGUCCGGAAUCAUUGGGCGUAAAGAGCUCGUAGGCGGCCUGUCGCGUCUGCUGUGAAAUCCCGGGGCUUAACCCCGGGCGUGCAGUGGAUACGGGCUGGCUGGAGGCAGGCAGGGGAGAACGGAAUUCCCGGUGUAGCGGUGAAAUGCGCAGAUAUCGGGAGGAACACCGGUGGCGAAGGCGGUUCUCUGGGCAUGAUCUGACGCUGAGGAGCGAAAGUGUGGGGAGCGAACAGG